CCACAUGCUCACAUACAAUUUACCUGUGAACCUCGCUGCCACAGAUCAUCCAUGCUGAAGUCUACACUGGUUCAGAAGAGAUUCAUCAAACUCUCAGAAGGAAAUCCAGAAAAGACUUUGAACACUAUGGUGCCAGGACUUCCCUAUGCCAUCAAGCCCAUGGCACUUGGAGAGAUUUUUCCCUGGGGAACUAUCAUUACAUGAUUUUCUUCUGUUCCUGUAAUCUUUGGCUACUGGCUAUGGUUCCUGAGAGGAGACACAGGCAAACGAGCCUGUGGCUGACUGAGAACCACCCCUUUUAUGAACUGAGCUUGCCAGACACUAGUACGUGACAGCCCAAAGAGAGAAAGAAGCUGCGCUGCUCAGUGCACUGUAAGUAAGGAGCAAUUUCAAUGUAAUGCCUGGAACUCUGCCUGCUGCUGAAAUGCAUGGAUAUAAAUUAGAGUUAACUCCCCCGGCUACCCUGGAUUUACACUAAAAUGAGGUGUUAAGGGGAGCUUCUGUGGAUAAAAGGAUGAAAUGUUGCUGAACUACUGGAUCCUGGAACAGCCUGUUCUGCACAGGAGCAAAGAAGAACAAGAUGCUCUGAGUUCAGAUGAGUAAGUAAGUGCCAUUCCUGGUAAGUGGUGUGCUGUAAGGACAGAACUGUGAGGGGACAGGAGUGAGUGAAGCAUGGAGCUGGAAAAUUCUCACUCAGA